UCCGUAGGGGGCAAUCGUUACUCGGAAUUACUGGGCGUAAAGGGUGAGUAGGCGGCUGAGCAAGUCAAGGAUGAAAGCCCGAGGCUCAACUUCGGAAUUGCCCUUGAAACUGCUCAGCUUGAGGGUAGGUGAGGAGAGUGGAAUUCCCGGUGGAGCGGUGAAAUGCGUAGAUAUCGGGAGGAACACCUGAGGCGAAGGCGGCUCUCUAAGCUAUUCCUGACGCUGAAUCACGAAAGCUAGGGGAUCAAACGGG
rnacentral:rRNA from 1 species